UUGGUGUAAAUAUUUUUAUAAGUUGAUUUUUCUUUCCUUCUUUUUUCUUAGGUGCGUGUUUACAAAGAGCCAUCACUCACAAUUCCUGAAACUCCGGGAAUUGUGCAUCAUGGGAUUUUGAACAACAGAAGGUAGAAGGCAGGUCUUAACUAAGGAUGAGGAGUGGCUCGAGCUACUAGUGAGGAUCAUAUGAUAUGGUGAUGGAAAACAAACACGAAGCUUUCAAUAUUUUUCUGAUAUGGUGCUUUUCAAGCUGGUUGUGAUAACAGUGCUUGUAAUUGCAGAGUCUUCAGACAACUGCAUAAAGACGGUAUGAAGCUAUAAAGUGAUUUUUUUUCUUUUCUUUGGGUGUAGGAGCAUUUUUGGAGAUAUUAGACAAGUCAUAUGUGAAAUGUAGGUUGACUUUGGGACCUACAGUCAACGUGCAUCACUGGGACCUAUAGUAAACGUGCCACUAUGAAGAAAACACCACAACUAGACAAUUUUAGUAGUUGGUGGGACCCACACAUUAGCAGGUGAAUGGUGAAUGGUACCUUUUAUUGUGGAUCACCCCUAGACCAAAGGCCUGGAACCUUUUGUUGUUGUAAGUUCCUAAUUAGUUUGUUUCUAUAUUGCGUCAGAACUAUCCGAAUGUUGAGCGGGGGUCCCUGGAAGGUGGGAACCACUGUUAUGACCACGAUGAAGUUGUCCAUUUCCUAUGGACAACAAUAUGGGUGGCCUGGCCAUUUGGACAGGCCCAUGUUUAUGUAUUAUCUCAAAAUUGAUGAAGCAGAUCUAGAUGUGCGUCGGAGCUAUCCGGAUGUUAAGCGGGGGUCCGUGGAAGGUGGGAACUACUGAUAUUU